rnacentral:rRNA from 1 species
AAGUUCAAGCUCCGAUUAUGAGGGCGAAACCGCGAAUGGCUCAUUAAAUCAGUCAUAAUCUACUUGAUAAGUUUAUAUGGAUAACUGUGGUAAUUCUAGAGCUAAUACAUGCACAAAGGGGACGACUCGCGAGAAGUUCUGCGUUUAUUAGACUAAGACCAAUGGUCGUUUCGGGCGUAUCUUUAAUUAAGGUGACUCUGAGUAAAUAAUGGGUGAAAGCCCAUGUUGCUGACCUGACAUCCCAAAAGGCACUUUGUCUGGCAAAUCAAUCGUGUGUCUGCUCUAUCAACUGUGGAUGGUAGGAUAAUUGCCUACCAUGGUGAUGACGGGUAACGGGGAGUUAGGGCUCGACUCCGGAGAACAAGCCUGAGAAACGGCUAGUAGGACUAAGGUCUGCAGCAGGCGCGAAACUUACACAAUGCUAGAUUACAAUUAGCGAUGUAGUGAAGAAAAAUAACGAUGUACUUCCAUUUAAACAUGGUAGUACAAUUGGAAUGAGACGACUAUAAACGAGUUAGUCGAGUAACAAAUGGAGGGCAAGUCUGGUGCCAGCAGCCGCGGUAAUUCCAGCUCCAUUAGCAUACAUUAAAGUUGUUGCGGUUAAAAAGCUCGUAGUUGAAUUUUAGGCGGGCUCUAUUGGGCAGCAAUCGUUAAGGUUCUAUCAUAUUCAUUCACUUGGAUGGGUAACUGGUUGUGCCCUAUAGGAACCCGCUGUUUCGUCACUUAAUCGAGUGCGAAGCGGGCUGGAACAUGGUUUAUCUCUCGGAGGUCCAUGUUACAGCAUGUUUACCUUGAGAAAAUUAGAGUGCUCACAGCAGGCAGUUGGGGUGUAAAAGCUCCUUUAUGCUUGAAUAAUGUUGCAUGGAAUAAUAGAAUACGGCCUCGGUUCUAUUCUGUUGGUCUUAUAGAACAACAAACAAGUUGGUUAAAGCGAUCAAAAGCCUCUUUGUGGCGUGGCUUUGAGUCACUGUGGUUGUUUGGUAGGUGUUGCCUGUGUUUCUAUUUCUGUUGCCUGGGGCCUUAAAAUCUCAGCGCCAGGAUUGGUUUUGGAAUGUUCAUUCAUCUGGUCAUAGCUCUUUUAGUCUUUUAAAGCGCUACUUAUUGGGCUAGCUUUUAAUCAACUGAGGCAAUGGUAAAAGAAAUAGUCGCGGCGGCAUCAGACUGCGAGAGUGAAAUUCUUAGACCGAUGCAAGACUAACUGAAGCGAAAGCGUUUGCCGAGGAUAUUUUCAUUAAUCAAGAACGAAAGUUAGAGGUUCGAAGGCGAUCAGAUACCGCCCUAGUUCUAACCAUAAACGUUGCCAACUAGCAAUUGGGUUGCGAUUCCUUUAAUCGAAGCUUAAAAAACUUCGAUCAUUAUGAUCCACCCAGCGGCUCUCGUAGGGAAACCAAAGUGUUUGGGUUCCGGGGGAAGUAUGAUUGCAAAGUUGAAACUUAAAGGAAUUGACGGAAGGGCACCACCAGGAGUGGAGCCUGCGGCUUAAUUUGACUCAACACGGGGAAACUUACUAGAUUAGAACUCUGGAAUGAUUGACAGAUUGAUAGCUCUUUCUUGAUUCAGAGGAUGGUGGUGCAUGGCCGUUCUUGAUUCGUAUUCCGAAACGUCUGCUUAAUUGCGAUAACGAGUGAGACCUCACCCAACUAACUAGUCGUUUGGUGCGCUGUGGAACGCAAAAUCCCGCAGGAUUCUGUUAUAGUGGCGCAGGGAAACUUGUUGUCAUUAUGGCUGCCUGUUGUGAUGUUUCUGCUCGCCAGCGGACUUCUUAGAGGGAUAACGGUGUUUUGCCGUAAGAAACGAGGCAAUAACAGGUCUGUGAUGCCCUUAGAUACUCUAGGCCGCACGCGUGCUACAAUGGCGUGUGCAGAAAGCUUGUUCGAGGUUUGUCUAGAGAGAACUGGCCAUUUGGUUUGUUGUUGGUGGCAACAUUUAGUGAAUCGGUGGAAAAGUGACUUUAGCAGGCCGAGAGAAACCGUUGUCGAAAGAUAACGGCAAUCAAAAAUACACGCCGUGAUUUGGGAUUGGGGAUUGCAAUUGUUGCCCAUGAACGAGGAAUUCCCAGUAAGCGCAAUUCAUCAUAUUGCGUUGAUUACGUCCCUGCCCUUUGUACACACCGCCCGUCGCUACUACCGAUUGGAAGUUUUAGUGAGGCAUUUGGACCUGCCGGCCAUUGGGAGGAACUCUUCUGGGUUGGCGGGGAAGUCUGUCGAACUCAAAUUUCUAGAGGAAGUAAAAGUCGUAACAAGGUUUCCGU